rnacentral:rRNA from 1 species
GACGAACGCUGGCGGCGUGCUUAACACAUGCAAGUCGAACGGAAAGGCCUGCUUUCCCUUGUGGAUUGCGGGUACUCGAGUGGCGAACGGGUGAGUAACACGUGAGUGAUCUGCCCCCAACUUGGGUAUAAGCCUGGGAAACUGGGUCUAAUUCCAGAUAGGACUGCAGGGUGGUGCCUGUGGUGGAAAACGAUUUUCUAGUGGUUGGGGAUGAGCUCGCGGCCUAUCAGCUUGUUGGUGGGGUAAUGGCCUACCAAGGCGGCGACGGGUAGCCGGCCUGAGAGGGUGGACGGCCACAUUGGGACUGAGAUACGGCCCAGACUCCUACGGGAGGCAGCAGUGGGGAAGAAUGCACAAUGGGCGGAAGCCUGAUGCAGCGACGCCGCGUGGGGGAUGACGGCCUUCGGGUUGUAAACUCCUUCCGACCGCGAGGAAGCCACCUGGUUGGAAGGGUGGUGACGGUAGUGGUAGAAGAAGCACCGGCUAACUACGUG